UACGUAGGGUGCAGGCGUUAAUCGGAAUUACUGGGCGUAAAGCGUGCGCAGGCGGUUUGCUAAGACAGGUGUGAAAUCCCCCGGGCUUAACCUGGGAACUGCGCUUGUAACUGGCAAGCUAGAGUGUGGCAGAGGGGGGGUGGAAUUCCACGUGUAGCAGUGAAAUGCGUAGAGAUGUGGAGGAACACCGAUGGCGAAGGCAGCCCCCUGGGCUAACACUGACGCUCAUGCACGAAAGCGUGGGGAGCAAACAGG
rnacentral:rRNA from 1 species